rnacentral:rRNA from 1 species
GACGAACGCUGGCGGCGGGCUUAACACAUGCAAGUCGAACGGAAACGCCCUGCUUGUGUGGUGUUCUCGAGGGGGGAACGGGUGAGUAACACGUGUGUAUCCUGCCCUUCAUUUUCGGGUGAGUUCACGAAACGGGGGCUAAUAUCGUACAGGAUAUCCUCCUCCGGGGAGGGGAGUGGAACGUUUCGGCUGUUGGGGAUGGAUGCGCGGCUGAUCAGCUUGCUGGUUGGGUAGGUGCUUACCGAGGCUGGGACGGGUAGCCGGCCUGUGAGGGUGCCCGGCCACCUUGCGACUGCGAUACGGCCCAGUCUCCUACGGGGGGCAGCAGUGGGGAAUAUUGCCCAAUGGGCGGGAGCCUGAUGCGGCAACGCCGCGUGCGGGAUGACGGCUUUCGGGUUGUGAACCGCUUUCGCCUGUGACGCAGCGUGAGUGACGGUACUGGAUGAAGAAGCACCGGCUAACUACGUG